UGGGGAAUAUUGGACAAUGGGCGAAAGCCUGAUCCAGCCAUGCCGCGUGUGUGAAGAAGGUCUUCGGAUUGUAAAGCACUUUAAGUUGGGAGGAAGGACCAUUACCUAAUACGUGAUGGUUUUGACGUUACCGACAGAAUAAGCACCGGCUAACUCUGUGCCAGCAGCCGCGGUAAUACAGAGGGUGCAAGCGUUAAUCGGAAUUACUGGGCGUAAAGCGCGCGUAGGUGGUUUGUUAAGUUGGAUGUGAAAUCCCCGGGCUCAACCUGGGAACUGCAUUCAAAACUGACUGACUAGAGUAUGGUAGAGGGUGGUGGAAUUUCCUGUGUAGCGGUGAAAUGCGUAGAUAUAGGAAGGAACACCAGUGGCGAAGGCGACCACCUGGACUGAUACUGACACUGAGGUGCGAAAGCGUGGGGAGCAAACAGGAUUAGAUACCCCCGUAGUCCCUGAGCGGGCUGGCAAGGCGCAU
rnacentral:rRNA from 1 species